rnacentral:rRNA from 1 species
UGAGGAAUAUUGGGCAAUGCCCGCAAGGGUGACCCAGCAACGCCGCGUGGAGGAUGAAUGUCGUAAGAUUGUAAACUCCUGUUAGAGGGGAAGAAUAGUACCGGUUGGACCGGUAUAUGACUGUACCCUCAGAGAAAGCCCCGGCUAACUACGUGCCAGCAGCCGCGGUACUACGUAGGGGGCAAGCGUUGUCCGGAUUUACUGGGUUUAAAGGGUGCGCAGGCGGGCUGUUAAGUCAGUGGUGAAAUCUCCGGGCUCAACCCGAAAACUGCCUCUGAUACUAGCAAUCUUGACUACUGUUGAGGUGGGCGGAAUAGGUCAUGUAGCGGUGAAAUGCAUAGAUAUGACGUGGAACCCCAAUUGCGAAGGCAGCUCACUAAGCAGAAUAUUGACGCUCAUGCACGAAAGCGU